rnacentral:rRNA from 1 species
UACGGAGGAUGCAAGCGUUAUCCGGAAUGAUUGGGCGUAAAGCGUCCGCAGGUGGCAAUGUAAGUCUGCUGUCAAAGCGUCUGGCUCAACCAGAUAAAGGCAGUGGAAACUACAUAGCUAGAGUAAGGUAGGGGUAGAGGGAAUUCCUGGUGUAGCGGUGAAAUGCGUAGAGAUCAGGAAGAACACCGGUGGCGAAAGCGGUUAGCUGGGCAGUUGCUGACACUGAGGCGCGACAGCGUGGGGAGCAAACAGG